GUUUCCAUGGAAAGUGAGAAAGGAAAAAAUAAUUUUCUGAAAAAGCACGGUCUGUGUACUGUGCGGCUCAUGGAGAGGCCGUGUGGCUGGCGCAGGCAGCGGCUGGUAGACUCAUCGCCUGCUUCCUCUCGGCCACUCUGAGGGCUUCUGUGAGGCUCCGCAUCAAUGCUGGGAGUCUUUCCUCCUGUCGCAGGACUGUCACAACUCCUGCCACAAACACCCAUCUCGAAUUGUGUCCUAUCAGUCAAUCAACAGAUACUCGCUGUGCACCUGCUGGGCUCGAGGCUCGUGGGGAAGCAAGCAGAUGUCAAGAUCACCUUCUGGGUCAGCCAACCCCUCUUGUUGGUGCGGGGGCGCCCGAGCCCAUCAUCACAUGAGCAGUUCAGAGGCUGCUUCUAGCCCGACAGGGAAGAGCACACACACAUGCUAGCAACAGGACAGGAUGCGGUCAGGGCGGUAGAGGUUUUCCGAAGGAAAAGGGCAUCAAAGUCAGGGUCAGACCAGAGCCCUUUGGAUGCAGCAUCCCUCCAUUCGCAGGGCUGCUGCUGAAGGACCUGGUGCUCCCGUUUAGGGCUCUCUGGCUGGACUUAUGUAAGGACUUUGUCCUUCCCUUGUCUCCAGGCCACUUCCCUCUGAGGUCGGCUUCUUCAGAAGAGCAUGGGGAGUCAGAGGCACUAGCGCUCCACCAGCUGGACUCUCUCAUGUGGAAUAAGUAAAAGUUUCCAGUACUUAGGGGAAAGCACUAAUUGGAUAAUGUGAGGGACAGCUAAGGGAGCUGGAGUCUGCCAGCUUUUUAUUUUUUAAUUUUUUUUUAAUAGCAUUUAUUCAUUUUUGGAAGAUGGAGAAAGACAGACCGUGAGCAGGGGAGGGGCAGAGAGAGAGGGAGACAUAAGAUCCCAAGCAGGCUCCAGGCUCUGAGCUGUCAGCACAGAGUCCGAUGUGGGGCUCCAACUCCCAAGACCAAGAGAUCAUGACCUGAGCUGAAGUCGGACGCUUAACUGACUGAGCCACCCCAGAGUCUGACAGCUUUAAAAGGGGUUUUGCAUGUUUAAAAGGGUAGCAUGGCAUGGAAAAAUAUUGAAAGAAGUCAUGCUAAAACAGUCACAGUAUGUAUCUUUGAAGGUGGGAUUAUGGGUGGCUUUUUUUUUUCCCACUCUACCAUCUAAGUUGUGUGCAUUAAGCAUGUAUUACUCUUGUAAACUUAAAAAUGUUGUUUCUUUUCUUUCUUUCUUUCUUUUUUUUUUUUUUUAAAGCAUUAUAGGGUAGUUUAUCUGCUCAACCCUGAAAGAGCGGGGAGGAUUUUCUUGGACCGUGCUUUAGUUUGGGAGGGAACCAGCUUUGAGGUCAUUGCUGUUCUGGUGUAGGAAAGAGAAUGAUGCCCUUGGGAGGACACUGUCCUAGAAGCUCCCUGAGGCUGCCUGGGACAGACGUGCCCAGCAAAGCCUCACAGGCAACCCUCCCAUCUUGCCUCUGCGGCGACUUGAUGGAAAGACAGUUUCCAAAUACAAAGCAAAAUCUGUUGACAGAGGCGUCAGGCCAAAGGCCUGCAGCCACCAAGCAGACUGUGGAGGAGGUGACUGGUCCCAGGGACACCCCACCACGCGGCCACAUUUUUGGCAUGUCCGUACACAGACUUUAAUUUAUUGCUGUCUGGGAUCACCCUCCCAGACGGAACACAUUUGUCCACUUCUGGCACACAUGUAUUCACUGCAUAAUGGAAAAUUAAAAGAGAAGUUGCAAUUUAAAGCCACGGGGCAAGGAGAAAAAAAUCUGGGCUUGCUCAUCCACGCCCCCAACCCCAAACCACACGGGUUUCCUCCCGGGUCAAGGAAACUGUGGCUUAACUGAAUGUCAUCACUGUGUGGAGGGAAUCCUCCCAGCACAUAGCCACUGGCUAUGUCAGGAAUACGUGGGUGAGGACCAGUCAGGCCUGAGGUUGCUCGUGACAACAGUGAUCGCUGCUUUGGAAAGUGACAUCAACACAGACCACGUAGCCCUUUGGUUUUUUCAAACUCACCAUUCCGGUAAGGCUCUUGUAAUACUCUGAGCACUGGACUCUAACUGAUCUAACUCAUGCUACAAACUGAAUUAAAUUGAAAAACUUCACCCCAACUCGAGUGCGGCCAGGGGCAAAGAGAGCAAGCAGGUGUCAGUGAGUCCCCUUGCUCUGUGUGUCCCAAACCCGGGAAGAGACAUCUCACUAAGUGAUGUGGGAGAAGACUUCAGGCCCACUAAGCUUAAAUUUUAACCCCUUCUAGGCCCAAACCCCUCCGUUUUUCCACUCUUUCUUCUCCUUUUAAUCUCAGGCACAACAUGCACCUCAGCCAGUGUUGGAACAAACAAGGAAUGAGGCCGCCCUUUCCUUCUCUUGCCCCUGCCCUCACCUCCUUCCCCUUCCUCCCAUCUUUCAAGGAAUCAACUGCGGUCCCAGUUGGGGAUGUGCUAGGCUUUAGGAAAUCAAUGCUGAAAGACAGGACUCACAGUCUCACACGGAAGAUAAUCCCAUGAAUGGACACAUGCAACGUAAUGCAGGAAGUGUGCUCAUGGGAGAGCGUCACACUGCCCUGGGGGGCAGAGCAAAGCAUGACAACCGGUGUUCGGCAGAAGGGAUUUUGAUUUACACCUUGAAGAAUGGGCUGCAAGUCACUGAGCUAGGGAGGACUGGAAGGGGGGAGAAAAUAUCAGGCAGAGGGAACAGCAUGGGUAAGGCUUUCCUUCCUUACCUGGAACCUGUGUUGGGCAGAGAGAGAAAUCUGGGGCUGGAAAGGCACAUUGGGGCAGACCAUGCAUGGCCCAUGGCUUCUACUUAGUUGGCUGCCAUCUUGGAAAGCCCAUGGCAGGGCCUUGAGGGGAGGGGAGACGGGAGCUACUCAUUUUGAUGGAACAAUCAGGAGCAUGAGUGCUUCCUCGUGCCAGACAGUGAGAAGCCAGAGAUAAAGACCCGAUGGCUGAAGGAGGGAGCAGGGACACUAGAGAGUGGAUGUAGUUGAGUGGUGAGGAUCCACUCUCCUAACUAAAGAACUUUUCUGAGGGCUGCCCCUGAGUCCAGGACUUGUACCAAUCCUCAUGCCUCUGGAGUAAUUCUCACUAGAGCUGUUGUUUUUUCUAGGAAUGGAUGUUUUCCUACAGCUGCAUGAGUGGGACUUUGAUGUUGGUCACUUAAACAUUUAUUGAACAUCUAUUGUGAGCCAGGAGCCAAAGAUUCAUAGGAAAGGAAGACCCAGUUCCUUCUCAGGAGGAUCUCAGGGACUCAUGGAGAAGCUGGCUCCCACCGGGUGGUCCACAACAGACACAAACCUUGCAGCAGGCAAACGUCAGAAGCACAUUUGCUCUGGACAGUGACACUAAUUUUCUCAAGGAGGAAAGCCAGCUCCCAAGAUUUUCAUCCUCUUAUUCAGUGAAAGGAGGCAGACAGCACUUUCUCAAAAUCGAGGAUUUUGUCAGAAGAAACCCAAGAGCCAAAGGCCACAGGAGACCUGAGGAAGCUCGCUGCCUUUGCCCUGACAUCCGGAGCAGAACAAGCUCGUGCUUCAGAAAUUCCCAAAAGACUGCCUCCGGGUGCGGAGAGACAAAGGAGGAUCCCAGCAAGAAACAGUCACUGCCCUCGAGGAGCAAAGACACUAGAGAGGAAAUAAGCCACAGUGAAAGGGAAAAUGGAGCGCUAACAUAGAGGCAUGAGCGUCUCAAGGUCAAGGACUGUGUCUUAAUCAUUUUUGAAUGCCCAAGCACUUGGCAGGGUGCCGGGCACACAGUAGGUCGUCAGCAUAUGUCUCCUGAGUAACUGCAGAGGAGGACAUCUGUCCUUUGGACUCCGUGCCUUUCGGAAGCUAUGAAACUCUUACCUUUUUAGUUGGUCGGUUGGACCUAGGCCACCUAUCUGCCACUUCUCUUUACCUUUAUGAACCUCUUGGAUUCUGGUUUCUACUUGUACUUCUAAUGCUUAAAUAUGACUGCUGCUAAUAGCUUACGUUAUUGAGUGUUACCUAUGCACACGUACUAUACUUACUAUUUUGCCUAUAGUAACUCAUUUUAUCUGCACAAAAAUCACAGAUGGAUGUUGGUACUCAAUUAUGUCUAUUUUAUAGAUGAGAAAACUGAGGCUCAAAGAGGUUGAACAACUUGUCCAAGGUCCCCUAGUCAGUAAAUAAUACAGGCAAGAACAACCCCAGGCAGUGUGAUGCCAGUAUCCACCUUCCUGGCUUUGAGUUCCUGGAUUUGAAUGGCCAUACUGCCUGGACCUGUCCGAGGUCUACCCGACUACUGGCACUAUACCUCUAGCCUCCACACACUGGCCCUGUCAUAGACUCCUUGCCCCCUCCAGCAACGCUAGGCCCCUCUUGUCCACAUUAGGGGAGGCUGGCCUCCACUGCUAUCUUCCCCCCCUAGACAGAAAUCAGAAACAAAGACUAUCCUACCAGAAGGCCAAGGAAAUCCCUGUCUGCCUUCUGGGGUGGUCUAGCUUUUGGGUGGACUCCAAAGAAUACUUUCUUCAGGUAUUUUUCUAAACCAGUGUUCUGAACAGGUGGUAGCUCUGAAGUCGCUGUUUGAAUUAAAUUUGACAAAGUGGAGGAGGCAACCUGUGUAAGCUUCAGUAGGGUCAAAUAUGUUUUACUCCCCAGCCCACGGGACACAGUCUUUCCCAACAGCACCUGCUAGACAUCACCGACUGAAACCCCAAAGCUGCAUGAAUAGUGGUAAGAAGGAAAGGAGAGAAACUUCAGACAAGCCAUAUAUGGCAUGUGACUUUCAACAAUGAGCAGUCCUGCUUCCUGUCGGUCGCUAACACCAAGUUGCUCGGUAUAGCACAAUGAUAGGAAAACGCUGAGCGUACAACAAUAAACCAAGGAAUAAACAGCGCCCAGGUUUUUCUUGAAACUAACAUAUGCAGUGUGGUGGACUGUGAUGUUUUGUUUAUAUUGCUAUGCAACAGAAGAAAAAAAUAAAGGUGAUUUCAGUGAAAGGCAUGGGAAUAUACUGUGCUAUCUGAUUGCAGUGUCCGAAUUUAGACAUGACAGAUGUUGGGAGGGGUUCCAUGUUAGACAUCGACCAUGAUAACAGACAUGAAUUUGGUGGGGUUCAUGGCUAGGCUGUACUUCUGUUUUUAAAAAUUCAGUGGUGAAUA